CUGGAGGGAACACAAUGCUGCUGACACCUUGCUUGUGGCCCAGUGAAACGAAUUUCAGACAUCUGGACUCAGAAACGGUACAAAAGUGAGACAAGGGGUGCAUAGCUGGACUGUCAACUUAAGAGGAUCAGUUUGGUAGAAGUGCUGAAAGGCAAAGCCAACAGGACAAAGGAGGGAGAGAAUGAGGAUUCAGGAACUCCAGAGUCUUAAUCUUGAACACCGGUCUUUUUCUGAUGGGGAGGAGUAUCACUGCCUGAGCUUCUUCGGCUGGUAAAUGUUUAACAUGCAGAGAAUGCAAACUUAGAAGUAAAUGCAGUAAGAGAAUCAGGUAGGAUGCUUACCAAGAGCUACCGGAAAAAAAUACAUUUGGAUCCAGUUAAUUCUUUGCUAUGGGGGACCCCUCCUAUGCAUUUUAAGAUUUUUACAACCUGUCUGGCCUCUACCCACAAGAUGUCUGAACAACCCCCAUUCCCACAACGUGUGGCAACUAAAAAUGACCCUUGAUGGAAAAACUGCCCCCGGUUGAGAACUGCUCCAAAGGCAUAGCUCUUUACCCUUAGAUGUUGGAAAAAUAAAACCUUAAACAUCUAAAAUUUCUUGAAAUUCAGUACGAUUUGUUUCCAUUUUCAAACAUCAAAUAGCCCUGGACAGUGGCUGGCUUUCGUGCUGAAACAACAUUGUGUGCAAUUGUUCGGAGCUUUAACACGAACGACUCCAAAUGAAGACGAGGAAAACUGAGGCAGAAUGACAGUGAAAGUUGUAUUUUUCCACAAGAACUAGUAGGUGAAUGCUCUCUGCGAACACCAAGAGCUAUCCAGGCACAAUAAACUCACUGCCAACCUUUUACACCUGGAGCAGACAGCAUGGCUUCCUAGAAAACUGUCCCCCUCGUUUUCGGAUCUUCAUCUAAAUCUGUUAAUCUCUCAACUUCACUGCUCUCUUCA